rnacentral:rRNA from 1 species
GACGAACGCUGGCGGCGUGCUUAACACAUGCAAGUCGAACGGUGAAGCUCCAGCUUGCUGGAGUGGAUCAGUGGCGAACGGGUGAGUAACACGUGAGCAACCUGCCCCUGACUCUGGAAUAAGCGCUGGAAACGGCGUCUAAUACUGGAUACGAGAAGGGUCCGCAUGGGCACUUUCUGGAAAGUUUUUCGGUUGGGGAUGGGCUCGCGGCCUAUCAGCUUGUUGGUGAGGUAAUGGCUCACCAAGGCGACGACGGGUAGCCGGCCUGAGAGGGCGACCGGCCACACUGGGACUGAGACACGGCCCAGACUCCUACGGGAGGCAGCAGUGGGGAAUAUUGUACAAUGGGCGAAGGCCUGAUGCAGCGACGCCGCGUGAGGGAUGACGGCCUUCGGGUUGUAAACCUCUUUCAGCAGGGAAGAAGCGAAAGUGACGGUACCUGCAGAAGAAGCACCGGCUAACUACGUG